rnacentral:misc_RNA from 1 species
UACGUAGGGGGCAAGCGUUGUCCGGAAUUAUUGGGCGUAAAGCGCGCGCAGGCGGUCCCUUAAGUCAGGUGUUUAAGCCCGGGGCUCAACCCCGGUUCGCACCUGAAACUGGGAGGCUUGAGUGCAGGAGAGGAAAGUGGAAUUCCACGUGUAGCGGUGAAAUGCGUAGAGAUGUGGAGGAACACCAGUGGCGAAGGCGGCUCUCUGGUCUGUAACUUACGCUGAGGCGCGAAAGCGUGGGGAGCGAACAGG